GACGAAGGUGGCUAGCGUUAUUCGGAUUCACUGGGCAUAAAGCGCGCGUAGGCGGCUCUUCAAGUCGGGGGUGAAAGCCUGCAGCUCAACUGCGGAACUGCCUUCGAUACUGUCGAGCUUGAGUGCAGGAGGGGUGAUCGGAACUCCAGGUGUAGCGGUGAAAUGCGUAGAUAUCUGGAGGAACACCGGAGGCGAAGGCGGAUCACUGGACUGCCACUGACGCUGAGGCGCGAAAGCUAGGGGAGCAAACAGGAUUAGAUACCCUUGUAGU
rnacentral:rRNA from 1 species